rnacentral:rRNA from 1 species
UUGGGUGACCAGCGGAGGGAUCAUUACCGAGUUUACAACUCCCAAACCCAAUGUGAACGUUACCAAACUGUUGCCUCGGCGGGAUCUCUGCCCCGGGUGCGUCGCAGCCCCGGACCAAGGCGCCCGCCGGAGGACCAACCAAAACUCUUAUUGUAUACCCCCUCGCGGGUUUUUUACUAUCUGAGCCAUCUCGGCGCCCCUCGUGGGCGUUUCGAAAAUGAAUCAAAACUUUCAACAACGGAUCUCUUGGUUCUGGCAUCGAUGAAGAACGCAGCGAAAUGCGAUAAGUAAUGUGAAUUGCAGAAUUCAGUGAAUCAUCGAAUCUUUGAACGCACAUUGCGCCCGCCAGUAUUCUGGCGGGCAUGCCUGUCCGAGCGUCAUUUCAACCCUCGAACCCCUCCGGGGGGUCGGCGUUGGGGAUCGGCCCUUUACGGGGCCGGCCCCGAAAUACAGUGGCGGUCUCGCCGCAGCCUCUCCUGCGCAGUAGUUUGCACACUCGCAUCGGGAGCGCGGCGCGUCCACAGCCGUUAAACACCCCAAACUUCUGAAAUGUUGACCUCGGAUCAGGUAGGAAUACCCGCUGAACUUAAGCAUAUCAA